AAGAAGAAAAAGAAAAAGAAAAAGAAGAAAAGGGAAAAAGAGACAAAAUAAUAAAUCCAAUGCAAUCUUGCAACCCUUCCCAUAAUCUCUCUUCGUCCUCGGUUCUUUCAUCUCCCU
rnacentral:ribozyme from 1 species